rnacentral:ncRNA from 1 species
AAAAGAGGACGGAUUUGGCUGCUUGCAACCUCUCAAAAACAAUGCUAAAACA